rnacentral:rRNA from 1 species
CGCAUCUGUGCAUGCAGCAUAUCAAUAAGCGGAGGAAAAGAAACUAACAAGGAUUCCCCUAGUAACGGCGAGUGAAGCGGGAAGAGCUCAAAUUUGAAAUCUUAAAGGGUUUCCCUUUACGAAUUGUAGUUUAAAGAAGUGUUUUCUGUUGAGGUUUUGGUAAAAGUUCUUUGGAAUAGGACAUCAUAGAGGGUGAGAAUCCCGUAUUUGACCUUUACUUUCAACUUUGUGAUACACUUUCAAAGAGUCGGAUUGUUUGGGAAUGCAGUCCAAAAUGGGUGGUAAAUUUCAUCUAAAGCUAAAUAUUGGCGAGAGACCGAUAGCGAGCAAGUACCGUGAGGGAAAGAUGAAAAGAACUUUGAAAAGAGAGUUAAACAGUAGCGUGAAAUUGUCAAAAGAGGAAGCGUUUGACACCAGUGUUGUUUUUCUGAAAAUCAAUUAAAGAACUGUUUAUGCUAAGUUGUUUAGACUUUAUCAGCUAUCUGUUUAGUUUUGAGCUUUUCUUUAAUGCACUUUUCAGUUAACAAGUCAACAUCAAUUUCUUUUGCUGUAAAAAAGCUUGAGGAAGGUGGCUUGAGAUUCGUCUUAAGUGUUUAUAGCCUCUUGCCUAUGCAGUCGGAGAGAUUGAGGUCUGCAGCGUAGAUCCUUCGGGGCUAAAUGCAUUUGUGCUAAGUUAUAGCAUUUUAUAGACAACUUGUUGACUAUGAUUUGUCUUGUAGCUUACUCGCUUAUGUUAUUUUACCUACGCUUAGGAUGUUGAACGCGCACAGAGUCUC